rnacentral:rRNA from 1 species
AUACGUAGGGGGCGAGCGUUGUCCGGAAUGAUUGGGCGUAAAGGGCGCGUAGGCGGCCCGGUAAGUCUGGAGUGAAAGUCCUGUUUUUAAGAUGGGAAUUGCUUUGGAUACUGUCGGGCUUGAGUGCAGGAGAGGUAAGUGGAAUUCCCAGUGUAGCGGUGAAAUGCGUAGAGAUUGGGAGGAACACCAGUGGCGAAGGCGACUUACUGGACUGUAACUGACGCUGAGGCGCGAAAGCGUGGGGAGCGAACAGGAUUAGAUACCUUGGUAGGCCACGCUGUAAACGAUGAAUGCUAGGUGUAGGGGGUAUCGACCCCUCCUGUGCCGGAGUAAACGCAAUAAGCAUUCCGCCUGGGGAGUACGGCCGCAAGGUUGAAACUCAAAGGAAUUGGCGGGG